AACCUCAUGGAAAAUCCAGAAUCACAGUUGUGCUCUUCUCAUCGUGGGCUUGAAAAGUGUGUGGGUUGCCAAAAGGCAAAUACAAUGAAGGCAUUGAGAUAAGUGAGAAAGUAUAGGAAGAGAGACCAAAAAGAACAUUAUAUACAAGGUAAGAA